GAUAACAGCCAUAUCACCCUGCAGCCCAAGACUGGUUACUUCAUAAAGCUAAGCAAGGGUGCGCCUGGCCAGUACCUGGCUGGGAGACCACAUGGGAAAACUAGGAUGCUGUUGGAA
ensembl:rRNA 5S_rRNA 5S ribosomal RNA